UACAGAGGGUGCAAGCGUUGUUCGGAAUUAUUGGGCGUAAAGGGCGCGUAGGCGGUUCGGCAAGUCUCUAGUGAAAUCUCUGGGCUCAACUCAGAGUCUGCUGGGGAAACUGCCGGGCUUGAGUGUGGGAGAGGAGAGUGGAAUUCCCGGUGUAGCGGUGAAAUGCGUAGAGAUCGGGAAGAACGACCCGUGGCGAAGGCGGCCGGCUGGGCCGGAUCCGACGGCUGAGGCGCGAAAGCGUGGGGAGCAAACAGG
rnacentral:rRNA from 1 species